rnacentral:rRNA from 1 species
GACGAACGCUGGCGGCGUGCUUAACACAUGCAAGUCGAACGGAAAGGCCCUGCUUUUGUGGGGUGCUCGAGUGGCGAACGGGUGAGUAACACGUGAGUAACCUGCCCUUGACUUUGGGAUAACUUCAGGAAACUGGGGCUAAUACCGGAUAGGAGCUCCUGCUGCAUGGUGGGGGUUGGAAAGUUUCGGCGGUUGGGGAUGGACUCGCGGCUUAUCCGCUUGUUGGUGGGGUAGUGGCUUACCAAGGCUUUGACGGGUAGCCGGCCUGAGAGGGUGACCGGCCACAUUGGGACUGAGAUACGGCCCAGAAUCCUACGGGAGGCAGCAGUGGGGAAUAUUGCACAAUGGGCGGAAGCCUGAUGCAGCAACGCCGCGUGCGGGAUGACGGCCUUCGGGUUGUAAACCGCUUUCGCCUGUGACGAAGCGUGAGUGACGGUAAUGGGUAAAGAAGCACCGGCUAACUACGUG